CCUACGGAGUGCAGCAGUGAGGAAUAUUGGUCAAUGGGCGCGAGCCUGAACCAGCCAAGUAGCGUGAAGGAUGACUGCCCUACGGGUUGUAAACUUCUUUUAUAAAGGAAUAAAGUGAGGCACGUGUGCCUCUUUGUAUGUAAUUUAUGAAUAAGGAUCGGCUAACUCCGUGCCAGCAGCCGCGGUAAUACGGAGGAUACGAGCGUUAUCCGGAUUUAUUGGGUUUAAAGGGAGCGUAGAUGGGUUGUUAAGUCAGUUGUGAAAGUUUGCGGCUCAACCGUAAAAUUGCAAUUGAUACUGGCAUUCUUGAGUACAGUUGAGGUAGGCGGAAUUCGUGGUGUAGCGGUGAAAUGCUUAGAUAUCACGAAGAACUCCGAUUGCGAAGGCAGCUUACUAGACUGCCACUGACAUUGAUGCUCGAAAGUGUGGGUAUCAAACAGGAUUAGAUACCCGUGUAGUC
rnacentral:rRNA from 1 species